rnacentral:rRNA from 1 species
AUUGAACGCUGGCGGCAUGCCUUACACAUGCAAGUCGAACGGCAGCAUGGAGAGCUUGCUCCCUGAUGGCGAGUGGCGAACGGGUGAGUAAUGCAUCGGAACGUACCGUGUAAUGGGGGAUAACGUAGCGAAAGUUACGCUAAUACCGCAUACGACCUGAGGGUGAAAGCAGGGGAUCGCAAGACCUCGCGUUAUACGAGCGGCCGGUGUCAGAUUAGCCAGUUGGUGAGGUAAAGGCUCACCAAGGCGACGAUCUGUAGCGGGUCUGAGAGGAUGAUCCGCCACACUGGGACUGAGACACGGCCCAGACUCCUACGGGAGGCAGCAGUGGGGAAUUUUGGACAAUGGGGGCAACCCUGAUCCAGCCAUGCCGCGUGAGUGAAGAAGGCCUUCGGGUUGUAAAGCUCUUUCGGCCGGGAAGAAAUCGCACAGGCUAAUACUCUGUGUGGAUGACGGUACCGGCAUAAGAAGCACCGGCUAACUACGUGCCAGCCGCCGCUGUAA